rnacentral:rRNA from 1 species
UACGGAGGGUGCAAACGUUGCUCGGAAUCAUUGGGCGUAAAGGGUCUGUAGGUGGCUUGCUAAGUCAGACGUGAAAUCCCUCAGCUUAACUGGGGAACUGCGUCUGAGACUGGCGAGCUUGAGGGCAGGAGAGGAACGCGGAAUUCCAGGUGUAGCGGUGAAAUGCGUAGAUAUCUGGAGGAACACCGGUGGCGAAGGCGGCGUUCUGGACUGCAUCUGACACUGAAAGACGAAAGCCAGGGGAGCAAACGGG